rnacentral:rRNA from 1 species
UACGUAGGGUGCAAGCGUUUAAUCGGAAUUACUGGGCGUAAAGCGUGCGCAGGCGGUUAUGCAAGACAGAUGUGAAAUCCCCGGGCUCAACCUGGGAACUGCAUUUGUGACUGCAUGGCUAGAGUACGGGUAGAGGGGGAUGGAAUUCCGCGUGUAGCAGUGAAAUGCGUAGAUAUGCGGAGGAACACCGAUGGCGAAGGCAAUCCCCUGGACCUGUACUGACGCUCAUGCACGAAAGCGUGGGGAGCAAACAGG